UAGGGAAUCUUCGGCAAUGGACGAAAGUCUGACCGAGCAACGCCGCGUGAGUGAAGAAGGUUUUCGGAUCGUAAAACUCUGUUGUUCGAGAAGAACAAGGACGUUAGUAACUGAACGUCCCCUGACGGUAUCUAACCAGAAAGCCACGGCUAACUACGUGCCAGCAGCCGCGGUAAUACGUAGGUGGCCAGCGUUGUCCGGAUUUAUUGGGCGUAAAGCGAGCGCAGGCGGUUUCUUAAGUCUGAUGUGAAAGCCUCCGGCUCAACCGGGGAUGGUCAUUGGAAACUGGGAGACUUGAGUGCAGAAGAGGAGAGUGGAAUGCCAUGUGUAGCGGUGAAAUGCGUAGAUAUAUGGAGGAACGCCAGUGGCGAAGGCGGCUCUCUGGUCUGUAACUGACGCUGAGGCUCGAAAGCGUGGAGAGCAAACAGG
rnacentral:rRNA from 1 species